CUACUUCUGCGAUUUCUGUGACUCCUGCGAUUUCUGCGACUUACUACUGUAUGAAAAAGUUACAUCUGUCAACACGGAAAAUUGCAUCGCAACAAACCUGUCAUUGGCAAGUACCUGAACUACAUUUCAGUCACUCAGUAAAGUGAUAACUGAAAAUAUCAUUGUCAACAGAUCUGAAGAAAUUGCCACUGCAUCUUUAGACCGUUUUCGUCAGACGAGAGACACAGUUCUGACUCUGAUUACUGGUUGCUGUACGUAUCUAUCCACAUCAAGGCUGUUGGGAGGGACUCGUGAAGAUUCAAGACAGCUCUUAGAGGAUUUGCAGUUUAAAAG